rnacentral:rRNA from 1 species
CCUACGGGAGACUGCAGUGGGGAAUAUUGGGCAAUGGGCGCAAGCCUGACCCAGCAACGCCGCGUGAAGGAAGAAGGCUUUCGGGUUGUAAACUUCUUUUCUCAGGGACGCAGAAAGUGACGGUACCCGCGGAAUAAGCCACGGCUAACUACGUGCCAGCAGUCGCGGUAAUACGUAGGUGGCAAGCGUUAUCCGGAUUUAUUGGGUGUAAAGGGCGUGUAGGCGGGAGCGCAAGUCAGAUGUGAAAAUUCAGGGCCCAACCCUGGGCCUGCAGUUGAAACUGGGUUUCUUGAGUGCUGGAGAGGCAAGCGGAAUGCCGGGUGUAGCGGUGAAAUGCGUAGAUAUACGGAGGAACACCAGUGGCGAAGGCAGAUUGCUGGACAGUAACUGACGCUGAGGCGCGAAAGCGUGGGGAGCGAACAGGAUUAGAUACCCCUGUAGUC